rnacentral:rRNA from 1 species
GACGAACACUGGCGGCGUGCUUAACACAUGCAAGUCGAACGGAAAGGCCCUGCUUUUGUGGGAUGCUCGAGUAGCGAACGGGUGAGUAACACGUGAGUCACCUGCCCUUGACUUAGGGAUAACUUCAGGCAACUGGGGCUACUACCGGAUAGGAGCUCCUGCUGCAUGGUGGGGGUUGGAAAGUUUCGGCGGUUGGGGAUGGACUCGCGGCCUAUCAGCUUGUUGGUGGGGUAGUGGCUUACCAAGGCUUUGACGGGUAGCCGGCCUGAGAGGGUGACCGGCCACAUUGGGACUGAGAUACGGCCCAGACUCCUACGGGAGGCAGCAGUGGGGAAUAUUGCACAAUGGGCGGAAGCCUGAUGCAGCAACGCCGCGUGCGGGAUGACGGCCUUCGGGUUGUAAACCGCUUUCGCCUGUGACGAAGCGUGAGUGACGGUAAUGGGUAAAGAAGCACCGGCUAACUACGUG